rnacentral:rRNA from 1 species
UACGGAGGGUGCUAGCGUUGUUCGGAAUGACUGGGCGUAAAGCGCGCGUAGGCGGCCCUGCAAGUCGGGGGUGAAAGCCCGAGGCUCAACCUCGGAACUGCCUUCGAUACUGCGGGUCUCGAGUCCGGGAGAGGUGAGUGGAAUUCCUAGUGUAGAGGUGAAAUUCGUAGAUAUUAGGAAGAACACCAGUGGCGAAGGCGGCUCACUGGCCCGGUACUGACGCUGAGGCGCGAAAGCGUGGGGAGCAAACAGG